CUCAAGUAAUAUUGUAAAAGAAAGAUUGGCUGCAAUGAAAGAACUAGAAAAUCAACUUCCUGAAGAUUACAAUGAUCAAGUGAGCCAGAAUGAUAUAUUUGCUCAAAUCAUGGGACUAGAUAAACCCGGUCGAGUACGUAUGCUUGGUGAUGGAAUUAGCCCAUCUGAUUUAUGGGGAGUAGUUCCUAGUCGUGGCACAUGCAAUCGACUAGUUAUGGAACAGAAUGCAAAGUUAGAACAGAUGAAUGAACAAAUCAAAAAGCAAGGCCAACAUAUUACAAUGUUAGAAACAAAGAUUUCUGAACAAUCAAGCACAAAUCCUCUUUCAAAUUGUAAUAAUAGUCAACACACUUCAUCGAGUAGCAAUCCACAAGGUUCUAUUCCAUCUCAUCGAACCUUACAUUUCUGUCUCGAUCAAAAGUUUAUUUGAUUCAACAAAAACUGUGGCAAAAGGAGUGCUCCUCAACAUGGAUCCAAAUAAUAUAGUAGGGAGACAAAAACUAGGACCAAAUUGGUGUGAAGUACAAGUACUAGUUGUCCUAGAACCCGAAGAAAAUUUAAUUAGACCUUAUGAUCUUUUACAAAGGUUUGAGGAUACACUUGGAGGACUGAUAGCUUGGCCUUGUCAUUUGUUGGCAAUAUGCGAAGAUUUCUAUUAGUGCAUAUAGAAUAAUACUUUACAUGCUUCUCAUUCGGUGACAGGUACUUGGAUUUUGCAUAUGAUGGUUGAAGAUGGUUGAAGAUGGAAAU